rnacentral:lncRNA from 1 species
AAAUAACUCUCAUAUGGAGGGUUCAUAUCGCUUUGGUCAAAAUGGAACAAAUAAUGUGAAGGAUAUAAAGAGCAAUUUUAUAAAAUAAAUUGGUCGCUUUCUUUUACGGUUACGGAGGAGAUGUGGACACAAGGAAAACAGUGUUCGGGGGGGGGGAUAACUCCUACAAAGAAAAUUAUUUGGUUACGCAGGGUAAAUUUCAAAGGCGCAUAAACUGUUCGAUAUCAUAUACCAAAUAUCUAAGCGACAUAUUGCGAAACAAAUAUUUAUCGCAAGAACAAAAUUAGGCGGAAGAAAAAAAAAAUAAUCAGAAGAAAAACAAUAGGUCUUUCCACAGAAAAGUGGAAAGUG